GGUUCAAGACUAGAAAUAGUCUGUAAACCAAAAUAGAGCUUAAACUGAACGCAAAUUCUCAACAAGGUUUUAACGAUUGGAUUUUUUGCAAAAGUGGAAGUAGAAAAUUGGAUGUGAGGGUGAACCAGAGCCCUAAGAGAUACUGGUUUUGGGUGAGUUAUAACCAUCCAUAACGGAGGGAGAUCAAAUGCUUCAUAUUUCAGCCAAUAUUUAAGAAUCCUAAUGUUGGUGACCCUAAUACAAUCUAAAAUUUGGUAGUGUUAAUUUGGGUCUCUGUAAAGACUGUUUACAUAAUCUGCGAGUCUUUUUGUUCUAAAUGAAGUCUAAAAUCUGACUAACUGAGGGAGAAAAUGUGGUGUACACUGGAACAAACAGGAGUAAUCUCAGAAGUAUAAAGUUCAUUUUAACAGAGUUGAAGCUAACACAAUCGUUACAAAAAACAAAUGUUGUGAUAUGGCUGGCAUCAGAUGCAGAUGCACCAACUGCUGAGUGUCAUAGGACUUUUGUAGACACUCUUCCUACCCAGCAAGGACUCUGUCUUGCAUAACACAACAAGCGUUAAAAGGGGGGCUUUCAAAAACGGCCAACCUUCACUGUCUCUUCUGCUUCAGUUAAGGACAGAACUUUGUACUCGCACACACUAAAUAAAACACACUAGCAGGCUCGGCGACCUUUCAAGAAAAGAACGCUACUAUCACAACUACUAAAACUUGGUCCACGUAGAAGAGGCCCACCGGGUGUCCAAAGUUCUCCCCUGGGCUGGGGUCCAGCACCAGCACUGCAUCAUGGGCCACAGAGGACUGGUAAGGCGACUGGUACCUGUGGCGACUCUCCCUCCCAUUUGCCAGAGGACCCGUGCUCAAAGCAGCCCGAAACUUGGAGCCCGGCAGCACGCUGGAGGGGGACGAGUCCGGGAGGAUGGCGAGCACUUUGUCAGGGAUUCCUAGAGGAUUUUGGAGAUUCCAAAAAACAACCCUGCUCAGUUCCAGUAUUUGUUGCAUGGAUGAAGAUGUCCACAUCUUCCAUGGGAUGCAACAUUCUGUCAAGUCUGUGAACUUUCUGUGAGAUGAUGUAUUGUAGAAAGGAACACAUUGAAAUCAACAGUAAAUAAUUAGGAAUUUUAAAUUGUUGGUUUAAACAUUUGAAACAUGUUCAGAAGCUUAAAUAUUGAUACAUAUCUAAUACACAGUAACUGUCUCUACUGUCAAAUACUGCUAAUAUCCACUAUGUGAACAUGGUCAUGGUAAAACUGUGUUCGCAAAGUCGAAUGCCUGCAAAACCUUGGUGUUAAAACAAUGGCAUGCCUAAAACACACUCUGCACUCGUGGACUCUGUCUGCGCUUACUAAGACUGAGUAUUUGCGCAUACUGUGUUUGAGCUCGGACUCUGCGCUCGCGCAGCCACUGUUUACUCUUGCGUGGACUCUGUUUUAGUGGAUUUGGACUCUGUUUACGCAAACAGAGUCUACGUUAGCGCAAACAGAGCCUAACGAGUGCAAGAAGUCCUCGCAAGCGCAAACAGAGUCUACAGGUGCCCAAACAGAGUCCGCAUGAGUGCAAAGUGAGUCCGUACACGCGCAAACAGAGUCUAGCGAGUGCAAACACAGUCCUUGCAAGCGCAAACAGAGUCCCCAAGCGCUCAAACAUAGUUUGCUUGAGUGCAAACAGAGUCCUUGCAAGCGCAGAGUCUGCACGGGCUCAAACAGAGUCUAGCGAGUGCAAACAGUCCUUGCAAGCGCAAACAGCAUAUCCAAGCGCCCAAACAGAGUCCGCAUGAGUGCAAACAGAGUUCUUGCAAGUGCAAACAGGGUCUACAGGCGUCCAAACAGAGUCUGCAUGAGUGCAAACACAGUUCUUGCAAGUGCAAACAGAGUCUAGUGAGUGCAAACAGAGUCCGCACGUGCUCAGAGUCUAGCGAAUGUAAACAUAGUCCUUGCAAGCGCAAACAGUCUAUAGGCGCCCAAAUAGGGUCUAGGGAGUGCAAACAGAGUCCUUGCAAGCGCAAACGGAGGCCAACGAUUGCAAACAGAGUCCGUGUGAGUGCAAACAGUCUAUAGGCGCCCAAACAGUCUAGCGAGUGCAAACAGAGUCCAUGCAAGCGCAAACAGAGUCCACACGCGCUCAAAUAGAGUCUAGCAAGUGCAAACAGAAUUCUUGCAAGCGCAAACAGAAUCUACAGGUGCCCAAACAGAGUCUGCUGGCGCCCAAACAGAGUCUGCCUGAGUGCAAACAGAGUCCUUGCAAGCGCAGAGUCCACACGCGCUCAAUCAGAGUCUAGCGAGUGCAAACAGAGUCCUUGCAAGCGCAAACAGAGUAUAGAGGGGCCCAAAAAGAGUCCGCGUGAGUGCAAACAGAGUUCUUGCAAGUGCAAACAGAUUCUAGUGAGUCCAAACAGAGUCCGCACGUGCUCAGAGUCUAACUAUUGUAAACAUAGUCCUUGCAAGCGCAAACAGUCUAUAGGCGCCCAAACAGAGUCUAGAGAGUGCAAACAGAGUCCUUGCAAGUGCAAACAGAGGCCAGCGAUUGCAAACACAGUCUGUGUGAGUGCAAAGUCUAUAGGCGCCCAAACAGUCUAGCGAGUGCAAAGAGAGUCCACACGCGCUCAAAUAGAGUCUAGCGAGUGCAAACAGAAUUCUUGCAAGCGCAAACAGAGUCUACAGGUGCCUAAACAGAGUCUGCUGGCGCCCAAACAGAGUCUGCCUGAGUGCAAACAGGGUCCUUGCAAGCGCAGAGUCCACACGGGCUCAAGUCCUUGCAAGCGCAAACAGAGUAUAGAGGGGCCCAAACAGAGUCCGCAUGAGUGCAAACAGAGUUCUUGAGAGUGCAAACAGAUUCUAGUGACUGCAAACAGAGUCCGCACGUGCUCAGAGUCUAACUAUUGUAAACAUAGUCCUUGCAAGCGCAAACAAUCUAUAGGCGCCCAAACAGAGUCUAGGGAGUGCAAACAGAGUCCUUGCAAGCGCAAACAGAGUCCGCACGUGCUCAAACAGAGUUUAGCGAGUGAAAAUAGAGUCCUUGCAAGCGCAAACAGAGUAUUCAGGCGCCCAAACAGAGUCUAGCGAGUGCAGAGUCCCAGGCACACAGAGAGCGUUUCAUACAUGUGGAUAUUGGUACCGUUUUGAGGAUGUAAAAAAAAUUGUACAAUUAGGAAGGAUAGAACAUAAUUCAUACUCCACAAAUUAAUUCCUAAAUUGUUAUCGUCCAGUUAAAAACAAAAAUCUCACUUUCAGGAUUGUUUUGUUUUUUAGGAGAAGAUCAAUGAAACAUUUUAUUGGAGUAGUUAAUAGUCUAGCGAGUGCAAACCGAAUCUUUGCAAGCGCAAACAGAGUCUACAGGUGCCCAAACAGAGUCUGCUGGCGCCCAAACAGAGUCAGCCUGUUUUAUUGGAGUAGUUAAUAGGACUUCUACUGAUGCAUCAUUAACCUUUGUCAAGCGGUUAUGAAAAAGACGACAAUGCAGGUCAUGUUUUCCCCGUCUGCACAAAUAUUUAAUAUUCAUAAAAAUAGACGGAUGCUUCCUAGCUCAACCUUUGACAUCUCACCUGCGGCGCGGCGCGGCUCGGAGGCGUAGACGGCCACGGCGGAGGGCGGCAGGUGGGCGAGGCGCCUGCACUCGGCCGGCGAGCGCGAGGACAUGCGCAGGCAGAGCUCCAGCUGCUCCCACUGCAGGGACUGAAGGCCCGAGCGGACCCAACGCUCUAGCUGAACUUUGGUCACGCUCCCCGCCGCCGCCGAGUGGAGGAAGAUGAUGGUGAUGGUGAUGGUGAGGGGAUACUUCAUGGUCACAAGUCUUUAUUUUCUUCUUCUUGUCGUUUGUGCUGCUCUUUAUUCUUCUCUUCCUGCCAUCUUCCUUCACUUUCUUUUUUUCUCUUUACUUUUUAUGAUCGUGCUGCACUUUUAUUCAUUUUUACAUCAUUUGUUAUUCCUGUAUUCAUUCAAAGGUUAGUUGCAUCUUUUUGCGCCGGAAAAGUCACUUUUUUGUCCUCUGUAGCUGUGAAAAAUAAAGCCAGAUGUCAAGUUGAGGGAGUUGUUUUUCUCUUCAUCCCUCCUUUUUUUUGGACGCUGAAGACAAAAUUAUCCGCCAUAUUCGUUCCAGCAGAGAAAAAAUGGUUUUAAUUCAUAAAUUUGUCCUCCUGAAAAAUAAUCCAGGAGGA